AUUCGUGGAUAGAUUUGUUAUGAUUGCAACCACAGAAAAAAAUGCUAAACCAUUUU
rnacentral:ncRNA from 1 species